rnacentral:rRNA from 1 species
UGGGGAAUUUUGGACAAUGGGCGAAAGCCUGAUCCAGCAAUGCCGCGUGUGUGAAGAAGGCCUUCGGGUUGUAAAGCACUUUUGUCCGGAAAGAAAUCCUUGGCUCUAAUACAGUCGGGGGAUGACGGUACCGGAAGAAUAAGCACCGGCUAACUACGUGCCAGCAGCCGCGGUAAUACGUAGGGUGCAAGCGUUAAUCGGAAUUACUGGGCGUAAAGCGUGCGCAGGCGGUUUGCUAAGACCGAUGUGAAAUCCCCGGGGCUCAACCUGGGAACUGCAUUGGUGACUGGCAGGCUAGAGUAUGGCAGAGGGGGGUAGAAUUCCACGUGUAGCAGUGAAAAUGCGUAGAGAUGUGGAGGAAUACCGAUGGCGAAGGCAGCCCCCUGGGCCAAUACUGACGCUCAUGCACGAAAGCGUGGGGAGCAAACAGGAUUAGAUACCCUGGUAGUCCACGCCCUAAAACGAUGUCAACUAGUUGUUGGGGAUUCAUUUUCCUUAGUAACGUAGCUAACGCGUGAAGUUGACCGCCUGGGGAGUACGGUCGCAAGAUUAAAACUCAAAUGAAUUGACGGGGUCAUAGCUGUUUCCU